CCUUACCUUUAUCUUUACACUAGCUUCUGUAGGCAAAGCUCACCUCUCCAGUUUAGUGUCUCUACAGAUGUCUAUAUAUUGCAAGUUGCACAAAUCACAUGUGUAAGCUUUUGUGCGAAGACCCUUUGAGGAGAUCCUUUGAUCUUCAAAUGUAAUGUUUCUCACAUGGUAUCCAGUUCGUGCCUCAUGCUGUUGUGUCAUUUUAGCAAUGUACUGUGGCCCACAGGGAUAGCUCAAGAGAUAAAUGAUUUGACUGGAG